rnacentral:rRNA from 1 species
AACGAACGCUGGCGGCAGGCUUAACACAUACAAGUCGAGCGCCCCGCAAGGGGAGCGGCAGACGGGUGAGUAACGCGUGGGAAUCUACCCAUCUCUACGGAACAACUUCGGGAAACUGGAGCUAAUACCGUAUACGUCCUUCGGGAGAAAGAUUUAUCGGGGAUGGAUGAGCCCGCGUUGGAUUAGCUAGUUGGUGGGGUAAUGGCCCACCAAGGCGACGAUCCAUAGCUGGUCUGAGAGGAUGAUCAGCCACACUGGGACUGAGACACGGCCCAGACUCCUACGGGAGGCAGCAGUGGGGAAUAUUGGACAAUGGGCGAAAGCCUGAUCCAGCCAUGCCGCGUGAGUGAUGAAGGCCCUAGGGUUGUAAAGCUCUUUCACCGGUGAAGAUAAUGACGGUAACCGGAGAAGAAGCCCCGGCUAACUUCGUGCCAGCCGCCGCGGUAAAAC